AGCAGCCGCGGUAAUUCCAGCUCCAAUAGCGUAUAUUAAAGUUGUUGCAGUUAAAAGCUCGUAGUUGAAUUUCGGGGUCAGUAGGUUGGUCGUGCCACGGGUAUGUACUGGUCUCACUGAUUCCUCCUUCCUGAUGAACCGUAAUGCCAUUAAUUUGGUGUUGCCGGGAAACUGGACUGUUACUUUGAAAAAUUAGAGUGUUUAAAGCAGGCUAACGCUUGAAUACAUUAGCAUGGAAUAAUGGAAUAGGACGUUCGAUCUUAUUUUGUUGGUUUCUAGGAUUGACGUAAUGAUUAAUAGGGAUAGUUGGGGGCAUUAGUAUUCAAUUGUCAGAGGUGAAAUUCUUGGAUUUAUUGAAGACUAACUACUGCGAAAGCAUUUGCCAAGGAUGUUUUCAUUAAUCAAGAACGAAAGUUAGGGGAUCGAAGACGAUCAGAUACCGUCGUAGUCUUAACCAUAAACUAUGCCGACUAGGAUCGGAUGAUGUUAAUUUUUUAAUGACUCAUUCGGCGCCUUACGG
rnacentral:rRNA from 1 species